rnacentral:rRNA from 1 species
AAUAUUUCGCAAUGGGGGCAACCCUGACGCAGCGCCGCCGCGUGAACGAUGAAGGCCUUCGGGUCGUAAAGUUCUGUCCUCUGGGAAGAAUAAAUGACGGUACCUCCGGAUGAAGCCCCGGCUACCUACGUUCCCGCAGCCGCGGUAAUACGUAGGGGGCGAGCGUUGUCCGGAAUUAUUGGGCGUAAAGGGGGGGUAGGCGGCCUUUUAAGUCAGAUGUGAAAGCCCACGGCUUAACCGGGGGAAUGCAUUUGAAACUGGAGGGCUUGAGGAUCGGAGAGGGUAGUGGAAUUCCCAGUGUAGCGGUGGAAUGCGUAGAUAUUGGGAGGAACACCAGUGGCGAAGGCGACUACCUGGACGAAAACUGACGCUGAGGCACGAAAGCUAGGGGAGCAAAC